rnacentral:rRNA from 1 species
AGUGAACGCUGGCGGUAGGCCUAACACAUGCAAGUCGAACGGCAGCACAGUAAGAGCUUGCUCUUACGGGUGGCGAGUGGCGGACGGGUGAGGAAUACAUCGGAAUCUACUUUUUCGUGGGGGAUAACGUAGGGAAACUUACGCUAAUACCGCAUACGAUCUACGGGUGAAAGCAGGGGAUCUUCGGACCUUGCGCGAUUGAAUGAGCCGAUGUCGGAUUAGCUAGUUGGCGGGGUAAAGGCUCACCAAGGCGACGAUCCGUAGCUGGUCUGAGAGGAUGAUCAGCCACACUGGAACUGAGACACGGUCCAGACUCCUACGGGAGGCAGCAGUAGGGAAUAUUGGACAAUGGGCGCAAGCCUGAUCCAGCCAUACCGCGUGAGUGAAGAAGGCCUUCGGGUUGUAAAGCCCUGUUGUUGGGAAAGAAAAGCAGCAGGUUAAUACCCCGCUGUUCUGACGGUACCCAAAGAAUAAGCACCGGCUAACUUCGUG